rnacentral:rRNA from 1 species
UACCAGCACCCCGAGUGGUCGGGACGAUUAUUGGGCCUAAAGCAUCCGUAGCCGGUCCUACAAGUCUUCCGUUAAAUCCACCUGCUUAACAGAUGGGCUGCGGAAGAUACUAUAGGGCUAGGAGGCGGGAGAGGCAAGCGGUACUCAGUGGGUAGGGGUAAAAUCCGUUGAUCCAUUGAAGACCACCAGUGGCGAAGGCGGCUUGCCAGAACGCGCUCGACGGUGAGGGAUGAAAGCUGGGGGAGUAAACCGG